UACGAGGGGUGCAAGCGUUGCUCGGAAUUAUUGGGCGUAAAGGGUAGGUAGGUGGUCUCGUUUGUCUGGGGUGAAAGCCUUGAGCUUAACUCAAGAAGUGCCCUAGAAACGGCGAGACUAGAGUCUUGGAGAGGGUCGUGGAAUUCCCGGUGUAGCGGUGAAAUGCGUAGAGAUCGGAAAGAACACCAACGGCGAAAGCACUCUGCUGGGCCGACACUGACACUGAGAGACGAAAGCUAGGGGAGCGAAUGGG
rnacentral:rRNA from 1 species